UAUGGGACUCGAAGACCAGGAGCCCAGAGGAGGCCCUGGGAAAAUGGUAAGUAAUGUAUGUUCUGACAGGAAAGACCAGGACCCCAUUCUACAGGCCUGGCACAGAGUUAACUUGGACUAAUUGGUGACGAGUUCACCCAACCCUUAUGUGAAUUGUUUGUGUUAUGAUGCAUUCCAUUUGAGCAUAGUGUUAAUGUGUUUUACUAGCUCUACUCACUGGGCUUUUAGCUCACCCCUCUCCCUUUUCCCCCAGGCUUACAGGUACAGGAUAUAGUGCGGGAGUUCGGAUAGAGUGAAGAAGUCAUGCUUAUGUAAUAGAUAGAAAUGGACAUGAUCAAAUUGUAAUGUAAAAGUACAGUAUAGUUAAGUAAUGAGUUGUAUGGAUGUUAGUAUGUGCUUGACCAUAGAUUGUUGUAUCCCUUUUAU
rnacentral:lncRNA from 1 species